rnacentral:rRNA from 1 species
UACGUAGGGUGCGAGCGUUGUCCGGAUUUAUUGGGCGUAAAGAGCUUGUAGGCGGUUUGUCGCGUCUGCCGUGAAAAUUCGAGGCUCAACCUCGAACUUGCGGUGGGUACGGGCAGGCUAGAGUGUGGUAGGGGAGACUGGAAUUCCUGGUGUAGCGGUGGAAUGCGCAGAUAUCAGGAGGAACACCGGUGGCGAAGGCGGGUCUCUGGGCCAUUACUGACGCUGAGGAGCGAAAGCGUGGGGAGCGAACAGG